rnacentral:rRNA from 1 species
AACAGGAUUAGAUACCCUGGUAGUCCACGCCCUAAACGAUGUCUACUAGUUGUCGGGUUUUAAUUAACUUGGUAACGCAGCUAACGCGUGAAGUAGACCGCCUGGGGAGUACGGUCGCAAGAUUAAAACUCAAAGGAAUUGACGGGGACCCGCACAAGCGGUGGAUGAUGUGGAUUAAUUCGAUGCAACGCGAAAAACCUUACCUACCCUUGACAUGGAAGGAAUCCUGGAGAGAUUUGGGAGUGCCCGAAAGGGAACCUUCACACAGGUGCUGCAUGGCUGUCGUCAGCUCGUGUCGUGAGAUGUUGGGUUAAGUCCCGCAACGAGCGCAACCCUUGUCAUUAGUUGCUACGCAAGAGCACUCUAAUGAGACUGCCGGUGACAAACCGGAGGAAGGUGGGGAUGACGUCAAGUCCUCAUGGCCCUUAUGGGUAGGGCUUCACACGUCAUACAAUGGUACAUACAGAGGGCCGCCAACCCGCGAGGGGGAGCUAAUCCCAGAAAGUGUAUCGUAGUCCGGAUUGUAGUCUGCAACUCGACUACAUGAAGUUGGAAUCGCUAGUAAUCGCGGAUCAGCAUGUCGCGGUGAAUACGUUCCCGGGUCUUGUACACACCGCCCGUCACACCAUGGGAGCGGGUUUUACCAGAAGUAGGUAGCUUAACCGCAAGGAGGGCGCUUACCACGGUAGGAUUCGUGACUGGGGUGAAGUCGUAACAAGGUAACC